GCAUAGUCAAUAACAUCCUUUUUAUCAAUGCAACAUACAACAGAGACGGCUUGGCCAAGGGCCUCAUUGAAAAUCUCUUCAUUAUUUCGGGACAAAAUCAAGCAUUUAUUCUGAUCUUAGAAAUGAUGAAGGAAUCUUUUCUUCAAGAGGCUCCCAGCCUCAGAUUUCAGAGUUGACAGGGAAAGAAAAAAAAAUAUAAUGAUCACUAUACAUCAAAUUUGAGGGGCUUGGUUUUUUCUCUCUACGUUUAAUUAAAGCAACAUCACUUUGCAAAAAUAAAUAAUAACAAUAAAACUUCUGUCACCUUUUUAAUUCACUUUCCUUCCACAGGUUUUCCAUCCAGAUUCUAAUCUGAUUCUGAUUAUAAACUUUAAUGGGAGGUAAGAGAAAUAUAUAGUGGCGAGUAGAGGGGCCUGGGGUGUUAGUUUUGGUGGGAUUUUUUAUUGCGGGGAGAAGCUGUUCAGUUUUUACAGUCUGCUUCUUCUUUGUCACAUUCAGUCUUUCGAACCUAAGGCAAAUUUCAGAUCGCUGACAAAAGGGAAGCUGCCGAUAAGGCUGGCUUGUGAGAGAGACAGAAAUUGAAAAGAAGAAGGUCUUCUCCGCAGUUUAGUUUUCUAUUUAAAAUAAAUUAUUAAAAAAAAAAAAAGGAGAAAUGCCUUUUUUGUAAAAUCGGGGAUGGGGUGAAGGCCGCAGAAUGGCUUCCCGGGCUCCCCCGGGCCGACGGCUCCGUGCCCACUAGAUGGCAGCCGGAGCCAGCGAUUCCUGCUCGCCGGGCCGCGGAGGGGAGCGCAGGGGCAGGAGGGGGACCGACACCCCACCUCCCCCCCGCGCAUCCUCCCCACCCACGUGGAGCAACUCACUUAGGGAGAGCAGCAGACCCUGGGGAGGGGAUGAAGGGAAGGACAUUGCGUGCAGGGCCGUUGGGGUUUUUCUGACUGCUCACACACUCCCAAAAUAAAACUGAAGGGUAGGGGUGAAACCCCCGCGAGAAGCGUGGAACCCUGCGGGGUUGCAGGUGGACAUGUUAGGUGAGGAAUGAGGGGUGAGGGGCGAGGGACAGGCUGCAAAAAUAGCCCGAAGUGGGAUGGGAACAUAUGGGGAUUUGAAUAUGUGUGUGGACUCGAGCGCGUGUGUGUGUGCAGGGUUGUGCAUAUACGGGUGCCUGCUCCUCCGUGCAGCGCGCGUCUUUCCUGCUCAUCAUUAAAAACCCCUGGAGUGGCUUUUGCAACGGGAAAGUGGAAGGCAAAUUCCUAUUUCAGAUCUGUAGGAGAAAAAAAAAGACAAAAAAA
ensembl:lncRNA